GCAAGUCGAGCGCGAAGAUCAGGAGCUUGCUCCUGAGAUUCGAGCGGCGGACGGGUGAGUAACACGUAGGCAACCUACCCUUGAGAUUGGGAUAACUACCGGAAACGGUAGCUAAUACCGGAUACGACAUUCCUGCAUAAGUAAGAAUGUUAAAAGGCGGAUUUAUCUGCCGCUCAUGGAUGGGCCUGCGGUGCAUUAGCUAGUUGGUGAGAUAGUAGCUCACCAAGGCGACGAUGCAUAGCCGACCUGAGAGGGUGAUCGGCCACACUGGGACUGAGACACGGCCCAGACUCCUACGGGAGGCAGCAGUAGGGAAUCUUCCGCAAUGGACGCAAGUCUGACGGAGCAACGCCGCGUGAGUGAUGAAGGGUUUCGGCUCGUAAAACUCUGUUGUUAAGGAAGAACACUUGAGGUAGUAACUGGCCUUGAGAUGACGGUACUUAACCAGAAAGCCACGGCUAACUACGUGCCAGCAGCCGCGGUAAUACGUAGGUGGCAAGCGUUAUCCGGAAUUAUUGGGCGUAAAGCGCGCGUAGGCGGUAAAAUAAGUCUGAUGUGAAAGCCCCCGGCUCAACCGGGGAGGGUCAUUGGAAACUGUUUUACUUGAGUACAGAAGAGGAGAGUGGAAUUCCAUGUGUAGCGGUGAAAUGCGCAGAGAUAUGGAGGAACACCAGUGGCGAAGGCGGCUCUCUGGUCUGUAACUGACGCUGAGGUGCGAAAGCGUGGGGAUCAAACAGGAUUAGA
rnacentral:rRNA from 1 species